rnacentral:rRNA from 1 species
CAGCGGAGGGAUCAUUACUGAGUCACGUGCUCAAACAACCCUUCUGUGGACCUGAAUUAAACCGUUGCCUCGGCGGGCGGUCCCCUGCCAAAACCCACGUGGUUGUGGACAGAGGAUCAGACAGUCCGGCACGCUUAAGGCGUCCGGCGCCAGCCGCUGGCCCUAACCAAUUAAACUCUAGUAACCUUACCUUCUGAGUUUUAAUACAAAAAAAAUAAGUCAAAACUUUCAACAACGGAUCUCUUGGCUCUGGCAUCGAUGAAGAACGCAGCGAAAUGCGAUAAGUAAUGUGAAUUGCAGAAUUCAGUGAAUCAUCGAAUCUUUGAACGCACAUUGCGCCCGCUGGUAUUCCGGCGGGCAUGCCCGUUCGAGCGUCAUUUUAAUCCCUUCCCGGGAGACUCUUCUAUUCUGUAGUGGAGUCCCGCGGGGCGUUGGCACUGGGCGCCUGAUUUUUUUUUAGGCGGCCGGAGCCGAAAUGAAGCGGCGGACUCGCGGCGGCCCCUAGCGCAGUAGAACAACCCUUCUCGCUUAGGAGAGCUGCAGCGGCGGGCCACAGCCCUACACAUGCAUGCUUUUUAAAAGCUACAUAUAUAUAUAAAAAACUUGACCUCGGAUCGGGUAGGACUACCCGCUGAACUUAAGCAUAUCAAUAAGCGGAGGAA